rnacentral:misc_RNA from 1 species
CGGAGAGGGACCUUAUGCAAAACCUCACCAAGUCUCAUGAACCCAUUGCCCAUCUACCCCUUACCCUCUCUAUACGCCUCUUAACGUUCUCUAAUACCCCAGUCUCCCUAUUCUCUUCAACGCUUCUUCUUCUUCUAGCUUAAAUGCUCCUAUAAAUUCUCAACCCAGCUUCUCUUUCUCGACCCAACUGCUCAUGACUUCUUCUUUUACUUCUUCCUCUUUCACCAAUCUUCUUUCUACUGAUACCAAAGACAUGGACAGUAUUAGCUGGGGACUUUAUGACCAUGGAACUGAUACAAUUGGUAUUGAAAUCCCAAAAUUCAAGUCAUUUACACCUCCUUCUUUACCUCUUUCUCCUCCUCCUGUAUCCCCAUCUUCUUAUUUGGCCAUUCCUACUGGUUUAAGCCUAACAGAGCUCUUGGACUCGCCUGUACUUUUUUCCGGCUCUAAUGUUCUUCCUUCUCCAACCACUGGAGCUUUUGCUGGUCAAACUUUCAACUGGAGGAACAAUUCUAAUGACAAUCAGCGAGGUGGUAGAGGGGAAGAGAAAAGUUUCUCUGAUUUCUCUUUUCAAACCCAAACAAAUCCUACAUCAUCAUCCAUCUUUCAAUCUUCUUCAAGCCUUGUCUCUGUGGAGCAGUCAAUCAAAAGGCAACAAGAAGCAUGGAAUUUUAACAAACCCACAAAGCAAACAGAUUUCUCAUCAGAGAAGGGAGGAGUGGUGAAGUCAGAAUUUAGACCAAUGCAGAGUUUCUCCUCAGAAAUGGCUCCACUCCAAUCAAGCCUACAAAAUAAUGCUGCUUCUCAACCCAGUUACAGUCAGUAUAAUAAUCAACCAGCUCCAUAUAUGAGAGAGCAAAGAAGGUCAGAUGAUGGAUACAACUGGAGGAAGUAUGGACAGAAACAGGUUAAAGGAAGUGAGAACCCACGUAGUUAUUAUAAGUGCACCUAUCCGAAUUGCCCAACAAAGAAAAAGGUAGAGAGAUCUUUGGAUGGACAGAUUACUGAAAUAGUCUAUAAAGGAAGUCACAACCAUCCCAAGCCUCAGUCCACAAGAUCAUCCUCUCAGUCUAUGCAACCUUCUGCAGGAGUCAGCUCAGAAAUCUCAGAUCAAUCUGUUGCCCCAUUGGAGUCCGUCACCAUGCAAGAGGACUCUUCAAUUUCGAUUGGAGAUGAUGAAUUCGACCAAAGCUCACCGAUUAGUAAUUCAGGAGGAGAUGAAGAUGAAAAUGAACCUGAAGCCAAAAGAUUCAAGGGACAGAAUGAAAAUGAGGGUAUUUUGGCUGCUGGGAGCAGGACUGUUAGAGAACCUAGAAUUGUGGUUCAGACAACAAGUGAUAUUGACAUACUUGAUGAUGGGUAUAGAUGGAGGAAAUAUGGACAGAAAGUAGUAAAAGGAAAUCCCAAUCCAAGGAGCUACUACAAGUGUACAUCUGUUGGUUGUCCCGUGCGAAAACAUGUGGAACGAGCAUCACACGAUGCAAGGGCAGUGAUCACCACUUACGAAGGGAAGCACAACCAUGAUGUUCCAGCUGCUCGUGGCAGCGGCUAUCCAUCCAAUAGACCUCCAUCCAAUGGUAACAGCAGCAGUAUGCCUAUCCCUAUAAGACCCUCUGUCACAACCAGCACAAAUUAUCCGAGCUCGCUGAACAGCACAAGGUUGCCAACAUCAGCAAGUCAAGCACCAUUCAACCUAGAAAUGCUGCAUGGUCCAGGGAGCAUUGGUUUCUCAGGUUAUGGGAAGCCAACCGGUUCAUACAUGAACCAAACACAGUAUACACAGAGUGCAUACUCCGGACCUAAGGAAGAACCAAAGGAUGACUCGCUUCUCGACUCUUUCCUAUGUUGAAAACCAAAAAAAACUAACUCCACAAGUAGCAGUUAGGAUUCAGGAAACACUGUUGAAUUAGAUAUGCUUGUAGUAGUGUAAUAUAGAUAUAGUUGUAAUUUUUUAAUUUGUUUUGAGGCCCUUCUAAGCUUGAUAGUAUAGGCCUCAUUUUGUCAUAUACACAAUAAUUCAGCAGAAACCUAAAUGGUUCAUUUUUCAAAGCUCAUUUGACAGGGUAACAAUUCUAGAAUUGAGUUUUCUUGUUCAUUUAAGAUUAUUUUUUUUU